rnacentral:lncRNA from 1 species
UCAAACAGAACUUACCGAAAUCCGUCGGUUCAAUUCAGUUCUAAAAGUUGAAAACCAAAAAAACCGAAUAAACCGAACAAAUUAACCGACAUUUUAGUGAUUAUAUAUAUAUAUAUAUAGAAUUAGGCUGGAAUACUAUUAAUAGUAAAACGCUCUUUUUGCUAUCAAAUUUUUAACCCUUGGAUGAAAAAUUGUAGGGCCAUGAUGAUAUUAGUCGGUUAGAGUUGAGUGAUCCCCCUAGGGUUGAGUGGUCCCCACUGGGUUAUAGUAUUUAAUCCAAUGGUUAGAAAUUAUGAAAAGAGUUGAUCCAAAGGCUAAAAAACUGGUAGCAAUAAUGGGAUUUUGCUACUAAUAGUAGCCCAGUCCAACUCUAUAUAUAUAUAUAUAUAUAUAUNCUUUCGAAUCGUCGAUCGGCUCCAUUAAACUUGAUCUAGAGUAUUUGAAAUAUCUAGAAAAUAAAUUUUAUGAUUUUACGAUAUUAUUUGCCUAGCGAACGAAUGGGCUCCAAAUCAACGGCUGAAAAUAAAAAUCUUACAAAAUAUAAUAAUAUGAUAUUAAAAUUUUAAAUCAAAGAUAUUGAUCUUGUUUUAUAUAGUAUAAAGAAUUUUCUAUCAAAAUUUCACGUAAUUUGAAUAUUUCUACACCGUUAAACUUGUAAACGGCUCACUACGGCCAUUGAAAUUUAUUGAUUUUGAGCCCAUUCGAUCACUAGGCAAAUGAUAUCGAAAAAUAAUAAAAUUUAUUUUCUAGGUACUCCAAAUACUCUAGAUCAAGUUUAACGGAGCCGAUCGAUGAUUCGAAAGUCGCAACAUCGAAAGCGAGCUGGAAGCACGGAAGGCUCUGUGCUUCCGAUAGCAUAAUAGCCUCACACUCUCUCUCUCUCUCUCUCUCUCUCUCUCUAUAUAUACAUAUAUAUAUAUAUAUAUAUAAAAUUAGACUAUUAUACUAUCUAUAGUACCGGAGCUCCGGUACUAUAGUCUUAUUUUCGAUUUUACGGUAUUCAAAUUAACGAUUCACACUGUUAAAUAUGAUUUAGGGUAUAUGAAGUUCUUAUGAAUAAAAUUUUAAUUUUUUUCGACAUCGUUUACUUAGUAAAUCAAUUAUGUCAAAAUGAACUGUGAAAAUUGAAUAAUCUUUGAAAUUUGAGUAUAGAACUUUUAAAUUCAAAAUAAAAAAUGUUAAUCUUAAUCUAAAUAGUUCAAAGUAUUUUCUAUCAAAAUUUCUUCUACAUUGCUAAACUCCAAACUCGUCAUAGUAGCCGUUGAAAAUUGACAAUUUUGAAAUGAUUUGAUCAUAGAGUAAACUAUGUCGAAAAAAUAUAAAAUUUUAUUUCUAAAAACUUUAAAUACCCUAAAUUAAUUUUAACGGUAUGGAUCGUUGAUUUGAAUACCCUAAGAUCGAAAAGGGGACUAUAGUACCGGAGCCCCGGUACUAUAGAUAAUAUAGGAGACUAGCUCUAUAUAUAUAUAUAUAUAUAUAUAUAUAUAUAUAUAUAUAUAUAUAGUCCGGCUGGGGUACUAUUUAUAGCACCAAAAAUUUGGUGCUAUCGAGUUUUUCACCGAUUUAACCUUUUGAUUAUUUUUACCCGUUAGAUUAUAUUAUUCAACCAACCACUCACUCAACCCUUGAGGGCCCACGUCAUCCUAACCAUUUAUUUCUCAAUCCAAGGACGAAAAAAUAAUAGCACCAAAACAAAAAUAUGUUUUAAUUUUAAAUACAAUCAAAUAAUUAGAGAUAUUAAUUAUUAUUAUCUUGGAUUAAUAAUUUUUAACAUAAAAUUUAUCAUGAUUAUAUCUAAUUUUUAGUAUUUUAAAAAUAUUUAAGCUAAAUAAAAAUAUUUUAUUAAAGUUAAAUAAAUCGAAUCGAACCCAACCAACCGAUGCUCACCCGUAGAUGAAGCAGGGUCAAACGGUUAAUUAGGCCUUUGGGUGAUGUAAAAAGUAAAAUUUUGGCCCUUAUAAAGGCCCAAUUGAGGCUCUUUGUUGGGCCAAAUGUGUACGUUAAGUUAUUUUGGGCCCCUACCUUUUCGGGCUAUUUUGUUACCCAGUGCGUGGGUCCAAAUAUGAUGGGAUAAUUUUUUAUUUUUUAUUUUUUUUUUCGGAAUUUCUAUUUGCGAUUUUGCCAUUUCAUUUCAUUUCAUUUCCAGCGGUAACGGUGGUAGCUCCUGCUCCAUAGCACGAAGGCCGAAUCCAAAACCCUAACCCUAGGUGGAAGAGAGAGCGAGAGAGAGCGAGAGAGAGAGAGAGAGAGAGAGAGAGCCAUGGCCGAAGGAGGCGGUGGAGGAGCGUCGCUGAAGGAUCAGGGCAAUGAGUUCUUCAAGGCCGGGAACUACUUGAAAGCGGCGGCGCUCUACACGCAGGCGAUCAAGAUGGAGCCCAACAAUCCCACCCUCUACAGGUUUUUUUUUUUUUUAUAUUUCUUUGACAUUUUUGGUUUCGAUCCAUAGAAAUCAUAUCAUCACCUGAGCUCUUGUUAGAUAUUUAUUUUUUAGUAUAAUUUUGAUGUACUUCGAAACCCUAGAUUUGAUGUCUCUUGCGGAACGCAUAACACUGUUUGAGGAUGUAAAAUUUUUUUUUUUUUUUUUGUGAUAAAUAUGCUGAAGCAUUGAUAGGUUACUGGGAGAAGGAGAAUCUGAGCUCACUGUAGCAUUUUUUUUAUUUUUAUUUGUUAAUUGGAAAGCUCAUCUUUGAAAUAUUUAGGAGUGGUGUGAAUUUCCCAACUAAUUGGAGAUAUAAUCAAAUUGCAUCUCAAGAUGGUAGAAAAAGAGACAAUUCAAACGAGUCUCGACAAAAUUUGCAUUUCAGAUAAAGCGCGCUUAAAAGCUGUAUUAAGUACGAUUUCACUUAUAUGUGGUGUCCUUUAACCUAGUGACAAUAGUCCUCGGUAAUCAAUAUACCCAUGCAAAUGCAAAUUGGCACGUCAGCGCAUCUAUUUCUUUUUGUGUUACUACCAAUUCUUUAUUUGGGGUUCAGUUUAUGUUAAACUUGUUACACAUUACUUCCAGAAUCUCGUGGAUUUUAUGUUAAAAAUGUUCUAUCAUUGGUUUGCAGCAAUCGGGCUGCUGCAUUUCUGCAUUUGGUUAAACUCAAUAAAGCGCUUGCUGAUGCUGAGACAACAAUUACUCUUAACCCCCAGUGGGAGAAGGUAUGUAUAGAUCAUGAGAAGUUGCGUUCAUAUUUUCAGCUUAUGCUUUGAAAUAGACAUCAAGUCAGGCUGACUGAUUUUAUCUUUUUUUACUUUUUGAGCCGUUAUGUUAAUUAGCUGUUUAUUUUAUGCAAUGUAGGGUUAUUUCAGGAAAGGCUGUAUUUUGGAGGCAAUGGAACGCUAUGAUGAUGUAAGAACUCACAUUAUAUUUUUAUUAGUUCUUUUUACACUACUGGAUCUCGUAUUACUGGUGCAUGUCUUUGAUACUGGAUAAGUUGCUCUAGUAAGCCCCAUGGAGCAAUGUAACUCAAAAGCUGCUCCAAUAUAUUGUGCUUCUCUUCCUUUAAUUAGAACAGUCCUCUUAUUGUAUAUCCUGGUGUGUCCAUUAUGCAGGCUAUAGCUGCUUUCCAACUGGCUUUGCAGUACAAUCCACAGAGUGUGGAAGUUUCCAAAAAAAUAAAAAGGCUCUCUCAAUUAGCCAGAGAUAAGAAACGGGUUCUUGAAGUAGAAAGUAUGAGAUCGAGCAUUGACAUUGCAAAAUACUUGGAACCUUUGAAAUCUGAACUGGUGAGUUGAGGAUUAUUGCAAUCUUUGUGUUUAUUAGGCAAUUUUAGACAGACAACUCUGAUGAACUUUUUUCAAAAAUCAACUGUAUAUUAAAUCUGAUUCGUUCCCAAUAUUUUAGGAAAAUCAUGAAAAAUGAGUGAGCACAGCAGUUACAAAGAAGUUUGCUAUUCUGUCGAGCUAACAUUGAUUUCAUGCUAUUGCUUGUAGUCUGCAAAAUGUGGAGAUGCGGAAGUAUCUCAAUGUAUCUUCUCUUUUAUUGUUGAAGUCAUGGACACGGCCGUCAAAGUUUGGCAUGAAACUGCUAAGGUGGAUGCCAGGGUCAAUUUUCUUCUCGAUAAGCAGAAGACUCAGACUGAUAAAUAUGCUCCGGUAGUCAAUAUUGAUAAGGUACAAUAUUGUUGUUAAUCAUCCAUCUUGAGUAUUGUAUAUUGAUGUAUUUUUCAUGUGACUAAAAUCAUCAUAGUGAUGUGCUUGAGAGUCAUGAAUAAACUCCAAAUCAAGCAUUGUAAUUAUAGUUCCAUAUAUUGUCAAAAAUAAAUUAUAUUCAUAUGUUGACUUUUCUUUGUAAUUAUGAUUGCAGAUCUUGUUAAAAUUGUAUGUAGGUAUUGACUUUUCUUCUCGUCUUUCAUUUUGCUAGGCUUUCGAGUCCCCUCACACGCACAGCAGUUGUUUCUCAUAUUUGAGGCAAUAUGCAGAGGAGUCAUUUUCCAAAGCUGCUUGCUUGGUAGCGCCCAAAAGCAUUAUAUCGUAUCCUCAGGUGGGCUUUAUAGCUUGCACAUUUUUUAAAUUAUGUAUGUUUCUUAAUGUAUUACCAUUAUUAGUUGCGGUGUCCUGGUCUUUUGUCACGAUUUAGGACCAAAAUUUUUAAAACAAUAUGAUAUGCUUGCAUAAAAUUUUAUUAUCAUAGUUAUUUCUGCAAUUUUUUAUAUUCUUCUUAUACAACAUAACAGUGAAUCAUUAUAAGAAAUUAAGAUUCAAGAGUAAUUUUACUAUUUGUCUGCUUCUGCAGGUUUGGAAAGGGCAGGGAUCAAGAAAGUGGAAGCUUGGGCAGAGUGAUGGUUUCUUUGUUCAGUUUGAAUCACCUUUCAUUCGUAAGCUGUGGUUUGUUCCUAGUUCAACCGAAAAAGGUCGGACCUUGUGCAGGUAAUUCUCCUCUUACCAAUACUAAGGCUAGGCCAUUUUUAGUUCUCUUCAUGAAUUCUGUGUUGCCCUAUGAUUAAUCCAUGAAAACAUUAAGGAUACUAAGUUUGGUUUCUUUGUAUAUGGAAUUGUUGCACUUUUGUUGCCUUAAAUAUGUUCCAAAUUUGUCCUUACUGACAAAAUCAGAAGUUUGCUAUUUCAAAAGUAAUAAUUACCUGUUGAAGCUUUGGGUUUCUUAUAAUAGUUCUUGACAAACGAGUAUUGUGGCAUUUAAAUUUCUUACAAUCCUUAUGUGGAACAUUUGAUGUCUACUGCUUUUUGAUGAGAAACUUGAACUAUACUAUCUUGUUUAAGGAAUCCGGAGCCUUUGGAUAUCAGUGCCCACGAAGUGCUUCCUCGUCUAUUCAAAGAGCCUGCUUCUGAUGCCAGAUAAUCCUUUAUUGCCGUUUAAUCGACGGUCAAUAGUGGAUUAAACGUUUGAUCAUACCUCAAGGGGUUUUUUUUGGUUACGUUAUUGAAGGUACUUGAGAUUUUUUUGUAACAUUAAUGUAACGAAUUUUGUUUUGCUGGCCAUUCUAACUGUUUCUUUUGUGAGGUUUUGUUGUACAUGGUAAAAACGAUUAUCUUUUAGCCUUCGUUCCUAGGCAUGUAAUGUGAGCUUUUGUUGGUUGCCUGAAGUGUACUGUUAGGAGGUAACUGUUUUAUUUGUAUUUCUUUGGGUUUGGUGGUCCACUUUUUUUUUGAUGAGAAUGAUUACAUGCUUCAUUAAGAACAUAAUCGAUAAUUAUUAUGUAUUUGUUUUAAUGGUUUGGUUUGAUAAGGUUCCAUUUCUUUUUCUCUUUUAAUCUGUAGUAAGCUAAACUAGAGUUGGCAUAGACAAUGCUUUAAAGAGCAUUGUGAGGUCCCUUUAGUUUUCUUAUAAAAAGGAUGUUGUUGAGAUGUAUUACUUAUCAGAGUUUCUGAAAAUGCUCUUACUGCAGAGUUGGUCUACUUGUAUGUUCAUCAAAGGAGCAUUGUGAGCCUCAAUUUUUUGUUCUUCAUGCAAUGACUGUUGCAGUAGAGGGGUUGAUGGGAUGGAGAGAGGCUCAAAUUUUGAAUAUCAUGUGAAAGAGAUGUUUACGAUUCCGCGUCAUUGGUUUUGAGACAUUGGUUUUGAGAGAGGUUUAAGAUUCGGUGUCAUUGUUUAACCUUUUUCCAGCAGAAGCAACGUAAAAGCUUUGAUUUAACCUCAUCACCUUGCCAUUGCUUUCCGAAUUAUUGAGAAAUUGUUGUAUGUACCGUUGUUUUCGAUGGAUCAGAGUCUCUAGAGCUUAAUUUUAGAAAGGUUGUGAUAGAACUGUUGCAGUCAAUAUGCUGAACAUGCUGAGAAAUUAUUCUGAUCUUACUCAUGUUCUAUAGAUUCUACUUCAUGAACUCCUAUCUGUAUCUUCCACUCGUUUUCUCCAUAAAUUACCAUCACUGUCUAGCAUAGUUGCUUGAUAUCUUGGAUCGCCUAUCAAACGAUAUCUGCACGUGCAGUUAACCACUUGCGUAAAUAAAUUACUUGUCUAAUUAUUAUACCUAAUAUUUGAUGUUACGCCUGGUUUGGUAUUAUGUUUAUUGUUUAAUAAAUUAUACUGUUUAAAAGUCUUAUCUUACAAGAAUCAUAUAUUUUAAAAAUUUUAUUAUUUAAAAAUUAAGUAGUUUUAAAAUUUGAUCAUAAAAAAUUAAGCAAUCCUACCGACAACACAUUCUAAAGUAAGAUGUACUUUUUGUGAAUUUUAGAAUGGGGACAUAAGAUGUACGUCUCAUUUUGAAAUGUAUGGAUAUAAAUUUUUUUUAAAAAAUACUAUUAUUUAACUUGUAAAAAUUCAUAAUUUUAAUAUGUUUAGUUUAGUAAUAAUAAUAAUAAAUAUCAUUAAGCAACAAUUUCUCCUCACUCGCUGCUCAGUCCCUCUCCUGUCCUCUUUCUCUCUCCUCUUGGAUUUUUUUUUUUUUUUUUUUUUUUUUUUGCCUGCAACUGAGAAUUUUUUUUAAACUUUGAAAACCCCCCAUCAUCUCCACCUUUUUAGCCGCUUGCCGCCACACACACACACACACACACACACACACACUCUCUCUCUCUCUCUCUCUCUCUCUCUCUCUCUCUCUACGCAAUAAAAAAUGGCGUCGAAAGAAGCAGAGGAGACAACCUCUCCACCUCCUCCGUUCUCAUCUCGUCCAAGAACCCUCUCCGAUGGCGGAUACCGGAUUUAGGAGCCCUCGCCGCGAGAUCUCGGAUUGAGUGGUUCGCGUCUCGAUCUCUUUCUCUCUCUGCUUCGUUUCGCGCAAGAUUUGUGCGGAUUUAACGCGAAUUCGGAGGUUUUGGUUCAAGAAUCCUCUUUAGAUCGCAACUAGAUGUCUUGGAUUGAGAUUGCCGUGUGCAAUGUGUGUGGGUUUAACAUGUAAUUUGGGGUGUUUCUCGCAAGAAACCUCUGUAGAUUCGAACUAGAGGUCUCGGAAUCAGAGGUACUCGUUUUGAUCUCUUAUUUGUGCUACGCCAUGUGCGGUGUGCGUUUGUGUGUGGAUAUAGCACGGAUUUCUGGAGUUCUGUUGCAAGCAACCUAUCUAGAAUUGAUCUAGAAGUAUCGGAUUCAGAUGUACUCGUUUUUGAUCUCAUCUGCCUGCUUUAAAUGUACAGUGUUUACUUUGGUGUGCGCUUGCAAGGAACUUCUCUAGAUUUGAACUAGAGUUACUAGGGUUGAGAGGUACUCAUGUUGAUCUCUUCUUUAUGCUCUAUCGAGUGCAAUGUGUGUGGAUUUUAGACGAACUCGGGGGGUUUAAUAAAAGAAAUCUCUCUAGAUCAGAGCUAGAGGCCUAGAUUGAGAGGUUCCGGGGUUGAUUUCUUCUCUCUGCUUCAAAUGCACAGUUUAUGGGGUUUCAACGCAUAUUUUGGGUUUUUUCUUGCCAGCCACCUCUCUAGUUCAUAAUUGGAGGUCUCGUAUCGAGAGAUGCUUGCUGUGAUCGCUUCUUUCUGUUUUACCAUGCUCAAUUUGUGUGAAUUUAGGUUUUCUUUCGAGCAACCUCUUGUUUUUGGGUUUACAUUGCUAGUUGGGACUUGGGAGGUUGUGAUCACAAUCUUGUCCAAUCCAGUGCACUGACCGAGUUCAAAUGCGGAUUGUAGCUCAAAUCAAACACAUUUGGCUUUUCAUACUUUCGGAGGCAUCUUUUAACACUUUGCAGUUUUCACCACUGCAAAGUGUGGGCGUGGAGGGCCUUUUUCUUAUUCGAGUUUUCUGACAAAUUACACUAACAAUUUUAUCAGAUUUUCCUAGAAUUUUUUUGACUCUUGAUAUUGGCAGGUUUUAAAGGAAAAUUCUGAAAGAUGGAUCAGUAUGAGGUUUUGGAGCAGAUAGGGAAAGGAGCAUUCGGUUCCGCUCUUCUAGUCAGGCAUAAGGCUGAGAAGAAGAGGUGCUGGGGCUCACUAUUUGUAACCCUACUUUGGGUUUCAUUAUUUCCUCCCAUUUUCUCCUCCUGUUAUUAUUUUUGUGUUUCGGUUAACAAUUUCAAGCUGUUGCAGGUAUGUGUUGAAGAAGAUCCGCCUUGCUCGUCAGACAGACAGAUGCCGCAGGUCUGCUCACCAAGAAGUAAGAAUCUCGUCUGAAUUAAUUUUCUUUGCGGACAUAUUUACAUAUAUACCUCUCUAAAUUAUCUAUUCGCAGACUAAUGUUCUCAAAACUUAUGUUCUUAGAUAUAUCUAUCCUUGACCAUACAACUUUGCCGUAUGAUCAUAUGACCCCCAACUUAAGAUAAGGGUAUUUUUAUGAGGAAUUGCACUUUCGAGGGGCAUGAAUGAAAUUCAGUUUUUACAUAGGUAUAUAAUAUAAUAAAUUAUUUUGACAUCUUAUUGCCAUAUUAUUAUACUUGGUCUAAGGUUACUAGCUACUUGUAUAUAUUAGAUGCAAUCCUGUUUGGACUUUUUUGACUUUGUAGGCUGAUGCAGGUUGCCGGUCAGAUGUUUAUGCUUUGUCAUUUUGAUGCUUAUGCAGUCUACUGGCCUAGCAACUGUUUUUCUUUUAACAUAAUUUUUCAUUAGAAGAGCUGUAGUGAUUGGAACUGCUUGUUCUGUAAUUAUUAUUCUGCUAUAUAUAAAAUGAAUAUUUUAGGAUACUUUAGAUGGUACAGCGACUUUAUGAACCAAAAGUGUUAAUCAGAUAUUCUUAUUAUCCAUUCCAUGUCUGAAAGAUAAUUUUUUUCUUGUGCAGAUGGAGCUCAUUUCUAAAGUGAGAAACCCAUUUAUCGUGGAGUACAAAGAUUCGUGGGUGGAGAAGGUUGCACAUAGACCUUCAAUCAUUGGCUUUGUUUAUAGAUUUCUUUGCAACUCGACAGCUUUGCAAUUCAAAAUUCACAGUAACUUUACAUAAUGAUAUGAACCUAAUCAAUUCCAAGUAUGUGUGUUUUACUUGUUUCAAUUCAAUGCUCAAAAUGUGCCUGCGCAUCACUAAGACUUUUUAGUAAAAAGAAUAAUGUUCUUAAAGUCCUUUUUUUUUUUUUUGCAAUCUCCGUUUUUCUUCAUUUAUUUCAAAGAAAGGUAUAUAAAUCUUUCUACUGUCUUGUCUUGAUUACAGGGUUGCUAUGUGUGCAUUAUAAUAGGAUAUUGUGAGGGAGGAGACAUGUAUGUAUCUUUCUGAGGUGAAAUUCACUUUCGUACCUAUAGGUCCUUUUCUGAUGAUUGGAGUCUUAUGUUCAGAUUUACAACCUCUCCUUUGUUUGUACAGGGCUGAAGCAAUAAAAAAGGCCAAUGGAACUCAUUUCCCUGAAGAGGUUGCUUUAACAUUAUUACAUUGUUUUUUCUUGGUCAAGCAUUUAGCAUCUAAAUUGAAUUUCCGUGGCCACGCAUUUAGCAUCUAAAUUUGUUAUUUAUUCUGAAUUGAGAGUUUUCUUUUGUUUUUUCAUUUAUCUGUCAGCAGAUGCUCUGUAAAUGGCUUGUACAGCUCCUCAUGGCACUUGAUUAUUUGCAUGCAAAUCACAUUCUUCAUCGUGAUGUGAAGGUUGGUGAUAGUUUUGCCACUAGUUGGGGUAUUAUCAAGUUUUUCUUCAUGAAAGUAAAUUGCACCAAGCGUCCUCAACAUUUAGAAUUGUUUUAGUUUGGUUCCUAAUCUUUAAAUUGUUACAAUUGAACCCCGAACAUUUGCAAUUUGUUAAAUUUCUACAGCUAAUUGGAAGAAAUAUCCGGAUAGUAGUUAUCUAAUUGCCAUGUAAUUGACUUUUGGAUUUCUUACACGGUGAUUACAUGGGCAUAUUCAUUCAAGUUAAUUAAGGAAUUUAACCAAAAGAAUAAGAUUGUGAAAAAAAUGCAGAGGUUAGGGACCAAACUGUGACUGUUGAAAAGGUUGGGCCAUGCUGAAACCUCAACUAGUUGGGGGACCACUGGAGCAGUGUACCCAAUUUCAUGUAUAAAGCUUUAAAGUACUGUUUGCUGAAGCCUUACGAUAUUUGUCUCAGUGCUCCAAUAUAUUUCUGACAAAAGAUCAAAACAUACGGCUUGGUAAGUCACCUUCUCUUUGCAUGGUGAACCAUAGCUCGCAAUCUUGAAUGCCUUCACUGAUCAUAGACAUUAAACAUUUUAGAUUUAUGAAAAAUGUACAGGUGAUUUUGGCCUGGCUAAAAUAUUGACAUCAGUCGAUUUGGCUUCCUCGGUAAGUUCUCAACCAGUCUAGCAAGUCUUUUAGAGAUUCAUCCAUUGCUUUCGCACUGAUUAAUUCACAAUGCAGGUUGUGGGAACUCCUAGCUACAUGUGCCCCGAAAUUCUAGCUGAUGUACCUUAUGGUUCUAAGUCUGAUAUCUGGUCUCUCGGUAUAGUAUAUCUUAGUAUAUGAGAGAGUAUCUUAAAUUAUCUUGAAGUUUUGGAUUUCUGUCCUUAAUUGCUUCAUUUAUCUAGGAUGCUGCCUAUAUGAAAUGACUGCUCUCAAGCCAGCAUUUAAAGCUUUUGUGAGUUGAACCAGCCCUUAUCUUUUUCAAUAUUUAACUGGUUUCCACUUUUGCCAUUCCUUACAUUUUGCUACCAGAUAUAGUGGAUCGAUUCUAGAUAUCAUAUUUCACUAAGUUUUGAGGUUUGUGGAAAUCGAGUUGCGCUGAUUGAGUAUUGGCAGGUUCAUCGUUCUAAUUUUGGUGGGUUAGUGAUUUCGUUUCAGGAAUCUCUAUUUUUGGCUGGGGGAUAACCACAAUGGCACGUUUAAAAUAUGUUGAAAGUUUGAAACUAUGUUUGUAUUAUGACUUCCUAAAUUGUCUGAUGACCCAAGGUACUGAGGGUGUCUAAAUAUAGGUUCAUAAACUGCACCCCAAAGUGCAAAAGUGUAAACUCAUGAAUAAAUGUUAUCCUCAAAAAGGACAAGUUUGUAAACUCAUGUAUAAAUGUUAUCCUCAAAAAGGACAAGUUUUUGCCUUUGAAAGUGUAGAUACGUAUAAUCAAUUGAUAAAGUGCUUUUUAUAGUAACAUAUUUUUGGGUUAAUUUCCUUAGUACCCUUCCAUCUACCCUUAAUUUCAUAGAUACCCUUAAAAAUUGUCAAUAUUAAAAAUACUCUUUUAGUUUCAUCAAACUAUCCAAAUUAUCCUUAUUAAUUAACUCCGUUUAAAAUUUGACUGUUUGCCCGUUUUGCCCAUGGAGCAUUUUAGGGUUUAGUGUUUAGGAUUGUAGGGCUUAGGGUUUUAGGGUUUUAGGAUUUUAGGGUUUUUAGGGUUUAGGGGUUUUUUUGAGUUUUAGGAUUUUAGAGUUUUUAGGUUUUUAGGAUUUUAGGUUUUUAGGGUUUAGCGUUUCUUAGGGUAUUAGGGUUUAGGGUUUAGGAACGUGGGCAUUGAGAUCUGAUUAGCAAGUGGGUGCAAAAUAAUUUCACGAGUCUUUCACGGUAGCCAAAAUAUUAUCUAUUACUAGGCUAAAAAGGGGCAAAUUAGUCAUUUUUUGUUUUAAUUCAAGUAAAAUUUUUUGCUAACCUGUGUUAACUAGACGUUUUUUAACGGAUGUCCGUGGAGAGGGUUUUUAUGAUACUAUUUAUGGAUUUAGGGGCAAUGCGGGUAUUGACAACCUCAAAGGGGCAUUUGUGAUAUUUUUAAAGUUUUGAGUGGCAUGUUUGAAAUUGCCCUUGUCUAUCUUGUUGCUUUUUAUAACAAUAUAGAUGUGGCAGGUUAUUCUAUUUGUAUUGGAAAAUUUAUGUUUGUGGAUAUCUUAAUUUGUGUCAACUAAUCUGCUGUGUUGUACAUAAAUGCUGUGUAAAGUACCUAGUUGGGAUAUUUUUAAUGCUAAUUCUUUUUUUCACUCUCUUGUUACCUAAGAUGGAAAAUUGAUCAUUGUAUAUUUCCCUCUCUAGGACAUGCAAACUCUGAUAAACAAGAUUAACAAGUCUAUCGUGGCUCCUCUACCAACUACCUUUUCUGGUGCAUUGUACGCUUUUUCCCUUGUACAUUUCCAUGCUUUGUUAGCUCCUUUUCGAUUCAUUCUUUCACAUCAACCUUUAUUACAACUCUUAGUUCUUUCAUGCAGUAGGGGACUCAUUAAGAGCAUGCUGCGUAAAAGCCCCGAACAUAGGCCAAGUGUAUGUACUCAUCAAUGCAAUUUAUUUCUCAUUUUUGGCCUUUUCUUUUGCGUGCAUAUCAGCUUGCAUCUUUAUAAGUUAGUUAAUGUUUAUGUACAUAUUUUUCCCCUUAACUAGGCUGCGGAACUGCUCAAGUAUCCACAUCUUCAGCCUUAUGUCCUUCAAGUCCAUUUGAAGUCUAGUCCUAUUCGCAAUAUGAUUCCUAUCGAAUCCCCUGCUAGAAAUACUGUAAAGAAGAUUAGAUUUCCCGAUGAUGAAGAUGAUUAUGCAGGCAAGGAUAAAAGGGAUUCUUUUGGGAGUGAGAAAAUUGUCAAACUUACCAGACCUUCUAGUGAGAGAGAUUUGCGGAGGUCGACUCUAACUUUAAGAGAUCGUUCUUGUUCUACAAACCAAAUAAUCAGAGAAAUGUCUAUUGAAAGUAAGGCAAUCAAUGAGAAGCCUGCAACUUUUGCUAAAACGCCUCAAAAUACUCCAACCAAGGCCUUCACUACUCCUAGGAGGCGACUGGAGCCCUCAAGAACAGUUCAUACCAGAACAAUUCGUCAAGAGGUACGACCGCACACCAUUAUGAUAUCAUUGUUUCGACUAGUGCUCAUGAAUAGUUGCCAACUUGUAGCAUCGAUGCUGCUAGUUUUAUGUUUUUUCUUUUUUUUUAGUCCAUAUGGGUUAUGUUGGUCUACUUAAUGUUGAUAUCUAAAGAUUUUAUCUUUCUAAACAAAUUAUUCUUUUUUACAUAUCUCCCGUCAAGGAUCUGAUUCUUUAUACUAUCCUGUAGAAAUCGUUCGUGUUUCUGACUAUUGAUAUUACCUGGAGAUAAUGUGCUAAUAUCUACUCUCAAUUAACUUUGCUACAAAUAGGAUGAGACUCAUUUGUUCUGCAUUCCUGUGCAUUUCACUUCCAGCUGUCCCACCUGUCAAGAGCACCUGCAGGUAGAACAGUUCGUCCGACUCGACGAGCAUCUCUGCCUCUCCCAGCACUUCAAACUCGUCACAAGCAACACAAUCUUGGGAUCCUCCACGAAGAUGAUUCCACCGAUGUUUCCCUAAAUGCUCCUCGAAUAGAUAAAAUAGCCGAAUUCCCAUUAGCAUCCUCUGAAGACCCCUUCAUCUCUUUUCCGAAGCCUGUGCCGUCUCGCAGAUUCUCUUCUGUGAUGCCAAGGUGCGCUGCUGACCGUUCAGUCACAAAGGACAAGUGCAUGGUUCAGAUCUUCUCCCGCACUGGAGGGGCGGUGAACACAAGUGGCAGUUCCUCUGAUCACGAACAGACAGCUGCAGCAGACGAUUCAAUCUUGGAGUCAUCGGAGCCAAGGCGGCGGGAGCAGCAGAGGUUCGACACCUCAUCGUACCAGCAGCGCGCAGACGCUCUGGAAGGGCUACUGGAGGUGAGUGCCAACUUAUUGCAGCAGGAGAGAUUCGAGGAGUUGGGGAUAUUGCUGAAGCCGUUUGGCCCUGAAAAAGUUUCUCCAAGGGAGACGGCUAUUUGGCUGACGAAGAGCUUCAAAGAGACGAGACUUUGACAAGCAUAUCUUUUUUAGCCAAUUUGAUGAUGUUCAGAAACCAAAAAUUAGUUGGACGUAUUAUAGUGGCGGUGAGAAUUUUUGCCCUGUUUCAUCAGGUUUGUGAUGUGAACUUUCUGUAGAAAGGUUCGCUAAUAAUUGAUUUGUUGUCUAGAUAUGGGAUAAAAAAAAAAAAGAAAAAAAAAAUUGAAACAGUGCUUACGAAAUACCAACCAAGCAUGAGCAAAUUCUCAUCAAGCCAACAUAUAAUCUCCAACGGUCAACCCCAAGUCCCCAAAUCGACGGCCUACUCCCACACUCAUCACUCAAUCCCGACUCCCGAGUCCCCCAACACUCUCUCCCCGAUCCAAAACCCCUUCCUCCUCCUCCUCUCCUCUCGUUCUACCUCGUCUCCACCACCAAACCCUAAUCCCCAUGGCCACCUUAUCCCUCCUCCUCCUGCCCCCCUCCCCCUCCUCCUCCUCCUCCUACUCCACCUCCCUCCGCCGCCUCGCCCUCUCCCUCCCUCCGCCGCUCCGCCCCCGCCGCGCCUGCGCCGCCGCGGCCCCUCGGAUCCUUGCGCAAUCCGUGCCCUCCGCUCUCACGCAGGACGACCUCAAGAAGCUCGCCGCGGAGAAGGCCGUGGAGUACGUGAGCAGCGGCAUGGUCCUCGGCCUCGGCACCGGCUCCACCGCCGCCUUCGUCGUCGCCGAGAUCGGUGCCCUCCUCGCCUCCGGUAAGCUCUCCGACAUCGUCGGCGUCCCCACCUCCAAGCGCACCUUCGAGCUGGCCCAGUCGCUCGGCAUCCCCCUCUCCACCCUCGACGACCACCCCCACAUCAAUCUCGCCAUCGAUGGCGCCGAUGAGGUCAUAGAGACUCUCUCUCUGUCUCUAACUCUCCCUCUACCCCUAGAUUGAAUGGAGUUUGAGAUCAUUAAUGAUUGCUUAUACUUCAAACACUUUGCUAUUGCUCUAUAGGUAAAAAUGCAAGGAACUUACACAUAUACUAUAGCCUGUUUUGGUCCAACUACCCAACCUUCGAAAGGUUUGAUUUUAGAGUCUAGACCUUUCGAGCACUUCAAUUGUUUUAAGGGAAAUUAGCCAUGACAUACUCGAAUCAUUCUUUUCCAGAUAAACGGUGCACCCAAAUUCUGAAUCAGAAAUGCUCUUCAAUGGCUCGAAUCAAAUGAAUAAAAGGUCAAACCUUAGUUUAGUUUUAUACAUUUUCAGCUUCUCUAUGAUUGGUAGCAAGAAGCUCCCUUUUAUACAGGUGAAGAGAGAAAGAUCUGAUGUUAAGUUCUCAAUACUUUCGGAGUGGAGUUCUUAUUUCGAGAGUUAGAUGAAUAUGUUAUAAAUCAUGGUAAAAUCAGAAAAUGCGGCCGAUCUUCUUUACAAGGGAAAGAGCAUAUAUCUAUGUUGAUGAGAGAGAUAAAUUCUUGACGAACAUGAUCUUGUUGCGGCACAUCUGUAGAUUUCUUAGCGAACAUGGAACAUCCCUGUAGGGCUUGUUUUGCCCAAUCGAAGUUUCUGCUGUAAUGUUGUUUAAGUAGAGUUGGUCUAAGAAGCCCUGACGAAGUUUGCAGUAAUAUCCCCUCAAUAAACUCUUGCUGCUGCUAAUUUUGGGUCAUAAUGGCCUUAUUAAAUAAUUUGACCAAAAAUAAAAUGUUUAUCAGCUGGUUUUUCCCUGUAGAGAUUUCCAAUUGGAAUCUAAACGGCUGGUGAACUUUCUCGACUUCCCCAUCCCCCCCCUCCUGAGGGGGUGUUAAUCUAGCGUUGCUUGGUGAAUGUACCACAAGCAGGCAGAUGGAUAAUUUCUUAUAUCUUACUAUUUUUCUUCUGGUAGGUUUUGUGAUUCGCUAGUUUACGAACAACUAGUUUCAAGUUUUGACUGCAUUUUAUGCACUGUCUUAGCCAUGUUUUUUUUUCCUUCCUACCAAUUUGUAGAUGACUCCAUUACAAUGUCAAAUAUGCAAGAAUUUGCUUUAGAAUUUAGAUACUAGAUGAUUCUUGUGGAUUGUAUGAAAGAACAUUUCUUCGGGGACAUAUGACAAAAUAUUUGGAAGUCAAUAAUAUGUCGCUGUUCUCUUUUGUUGCGUCCUGCUACUGUAUGUACGACGAGUCUAUUUGCUUGCAUUUGAGCUUCAAUAUGGGAUUUAAAACAGGUGGAUCCAAAUAUUAACCUAGUUAAAGGGCGCGGAGGGGCUCUUCUUCGGGAAAAGAUGGUUGAGGCUGCUUCAGACAAAUUCAUCGUGGUUGUCGAUGAAACAAAGCUCGUAACCGGCUUAGGCGGAAGCGGACUCGCAAUGCCGGUGGAAGUCGUGCAGUUCUGUUGGAAGUAUAACCUAAGAAGAUUGCAAGAAUUGUUCAAAGAAGAAGGGUGUGAAGCAAAGCUUAGGCUGGACGGCGAUGGGAAACCUUAUAUCACGGAUAAUUCAAACUAUAUUGUAGAUUUGUACUUCAAGACUCCAAUUAAGGAUGCACUAGGCGCUGGAAAGGAGAUCUCGGCGUUUGAAGGGGUUGUAGAGCAUGGGUUGUUUUUGGAUAUGGCGAGUACAGUAAUUAUUGCAAGGAAGGAUGGGGUGAGUGUGAAGUCAAGGUUAAUUAAUGUGGAGGCUGCAUGAUUGAUGUUGCGUAAAAUAAGGUGUGUUUUCAUUUAGUUUUUCAGUUUGUCCCCCAACAGAGGGUUGUAUUAUUGCAUUCGAAAUAAUAAACAAGGGGACUACCAUGUUUAAAGUGACCACCUCUUUUCUCACUGUUAUGUUAUCUCCUGCCUCGAGUUCUCUGUUGUUUUCAACAAUUUAGAUAGUAAGCAAGUUGUAGAUUAUAUCAUUUAUGAUUCAAGAUUUCCACCUAGAUUUAGCAUUUCUUUUUGUUUGAUUUAUGCUGUUGUCUAUGUUUGCUACUCCUGAGUUUGGAUGAUUAGUUACGAGAAAUUCAUGCCUGUAGAGUUUUUGUAUUAAAUUAGUAGUAUAAUUUUAAGCUCCUUUAUUUCUUGAAAGUGAAUUUAAUUUCUUAGAAGACUUAUUACUCCAAGUUUAGACUCUCAAAAGUCGGAUUCAGUAUAAUAUAAACUCCGAAUUUAGUCAAAAUCCAAGAAAACCCAGCUCACCAACUGGCUAGAUCAGAUCUUAUGGUUAGUUUGUAUUUCACUAGACUUUGACCUAAAACACUAGCAACAUUUUAUGAGAAAUUUUGACUAGGUAUUAGACAACUUCGAUUCCAAAAGAUAUAAUUAUCCCAUAUACUUUCUGCAACUACUGAUGCACAGAUAACCCGUAAAUACAUUUCCGUUUUCUUGGGCUUCGUUACUUGUCAACAACACAUUAUAGUGAAUUAGAUGAAAUAGCAUAGUUACCUUCUUGCAAUCUGCUUUGAAUAGUCAUGCAAGGCCACUAUUGCAAUGAAUUAGUUCAAGUAGCAUCUUUAUCUUCUUGAGAUCUGCUUUGAUCAUGUCAUAAAAGGUUAAAGUUACAAUGGAUCAGUUUUAUUAUUAUAUCUAUAAAUUGACAGUAAUUUAUUCCAAAUUAAAGAAUAAGCAGCAGAUCUUACCCCAUAGGUAAAAGGCUGAGGCCGUAGUAGCAGCAGCGACGAGAUUCGACUAGUUUAUGACAACAUCAUCAAAUUCCAAAUUACAUUUUCAUGUCAAUCUCUGUACACUCUGGAUGGUAAGCACCCCCAGCAAAAAAUUCAUGUACAACUCCAUUCAACUCAAUCCAACUACAACCAGGAACUUUUUCAACGCCUUCUCUCUUCAUCAGAUUUCUCAUCUUUUUGACACCAUCCCACAUGGAUUCUUUUGCAUACACAUUAGACAUUAAUACAUAUGCUCCACAAUGAGUCGGAUCAUCCCCAAUUAGCUUUCUUGUCACAUACUCAGCAAGUUCAAUAUGUCCAUGAAGAUUACAAGCACCAAGUAGAGCUCCCCAAAUGGCCUUUCGAUUUGCAGAAAAGUCCAUUGAUUCUAUAAAAUGUUUAGCUUCGUUCAAGAGGCCGCAUCGGCCAAAGAGAUCCACCAUACAACUAUAAUGUUCGGUUGUCGGAUGAAUUCCAUACUUUCGAGUCAUCAAAUCGAAGUAGUGCUUACCUUCUUCUACUAAACCUCCAUGGCUACAAGCGGCUAAAACACCAAUGAAUGUAACAGCAUCAGGAUGAAUACCAUUCCCUUCCAUGUCUUUGAAGUGUUCUAGAGCUAGUUUACUUCUUCCAUGCAUGGCAAGCCCACUGAUAAUAGUAGUCCAUGCCAACAAAUCCUUCACAUGCAUUCUGUUGAACACUUCGAGAGCAAGAUCUAUGCAUCCACACUUUGCAUACAUUUCCACAAGAGAAGAGCCUAAUUGCGCAUCCAUUUCUAUUUUGUUUCUCUCAAUGUAAGCAUGAAUCCACCUGCCUAAUUCAAGAGCGCCAACUUUUGCACAUGCAGUCAAUGUGCUAACGAGUGUUAAUUGAUUAGGGCUCACCUUCAUCCUCUGCAUCUCUUCAAAGAUACCCAAAGUUUCACUGAAGUAACCAGAUUUGGUUAACGCACUAAUCAUUGCAUUCCAGGCAGCUAUAUCCUUGUAUGGCAUUUGUUUGAAGGUGUCAAGUGCAGUCGCCACAGCGCCGUGCUUUACAUGUCCCACCACCAUCAAAGUCCUAGAGAUCUCACUCUUUAUAACCAAUUUGUUGAAUAAUGAUUCAGCUGAGUUCAUGUCACCACAACUUGUGUAGAGUCCAAGAAUAGAAUGAAGCAAAUCAAGAGAUUUGUCCAUCUCCGCCUUACAAAUGUAUCCAUGGAUUACUUUGCCUAUGCUUACGUAACCCAAUCGUGCAGAAGCCGAUACAACGCUUAUCAUGGUGGCCUUGUCGGGUUUUACAUCAAGAGCCUGCCGAAGCCAAAAUGUGGUAAGAUAAUGCAUGUUUCUACUUACACCACCAAUUUAAUAACAAAACGAUGACCGAAUCACUAACAUCUACGCAUCGAACAGGGUGGGUGAGAGAAGUUACCAGCAUCUCAUUAUAAAGCAACAUUGCUGCUUCGAAGCAUCCAUUGGAAACAUAUCCGCUAAGCAUGGCGUUCCAAGCCACCACAUUCCGAUGAGGCAUUUUAUCAAACACCUCGCGGGCAGUUUCUAUACGGCGUACGGCGGCAUAUCCAGCGAGCAAUGUGGUCCAUGUCACCACAUCGCGUUCGAUCAUCCGACGGAAUAACCUCUCUGCUUCCUCCAUCACCCCCAUCUUAGCAUACAUGUUCACCAAAGCAUUUCCCAGAUUCAAUCCCAAGCUCACUCCUUUCUCACGGAUAUACCGGAGAACCUUCGUGCCCAGCUCAAAGUCCCUCGAUUUAGUGCACGCCGCGACCACCCUCACAAGCGUCACCGAAUUGGGCGCAGCACGAAACUCCCCAACCAUCGUCCUAAACAAAGAUUUCACCUUUUCCCACAAACCCAACUCGGCGUACCCCCCAAUAACGCAGCUCCAGGACACAGCACUCCUCUCAGGCAUUUUCUCGAACAGGAGAUGCGCGUCGCCGGAGCGUCCGCAUCCGAAGUACAAACCGAUCAGCGCAUUUUGCACGUACGAAUCCGAGGCCACUCCGAGCUUAACGGCGAUUCCGUGGACCUGGGCUCCUUCGGAAAAAGCCGGGAUCUUUGCGCAUGCUUUGAGAACGGUGGGGAAGAAGAAGAAGAAGGAGCCACAGCGAGGGUUAAGGGAGAGUGGGCCGUGUUCUACCAACCUCUUGAAGAGGAGAAUGGCGCGUUCGGGCUCGCUUUGGUCCCAAUUGCGAACGGCCUUGUAGCUGUGGGUGGUAGCUGUGCUGCUGCGAAAUGUAGAGUAGUGUUAAUGGCGAGAGAGAGAGAGAGAGAGAGAGAGAGAGAGAGAGUACCAGGAAUUGUUGAUGGCGCCCCCGCGCGAUUUCGAAGAGAAGGGUGAAGUGGUGGUUGGAUGGAGAGGUUGUAUACACGCCAUCCCAAGCCAACUCUAUACGGCACUGAGUUGGAUUUGCUUUUUAGAGAGAGAAUUUUAGGCCAAACUAUGAAAGGCACUUAAAAAAUAAAUAAAUAAACCUUGUAUGUUCCAAAAUUGAUUUCAUCGUAUUAAUCUUACCACACUUAGAUCAUUGGAUGGGGAGGUGUAAAAUUAGAAGCGCAAUAACACUAGCUACUGGAAUUUCCAGUAAAAAAUUGUGUAGGAAGGAUUUUCAAAUUAUUUAUUGGCUAAAUUAUAGAAAAUUUUCUAUCAAAAUUUGAUUUUUUAUUUUUCUUCCAUGUCAUUUAAAAAUCUAUACUUUGCCCUCUUGUAAAAUAAAAAAUGUUCACGGGGUAUGGUGUGAACUAUAAUAAUAAAAUGAUCAUUUUGCCCCUCACCAUUUUGCCUCUUAUUAUGUUCACAGAAGAGAAGGCUAAAAAUAUUUUUGGUAUAAAAAAAUAUAAUAAUAUUUUAUAAACGAAUCCUAACGGAUUACUAAUGGUAGGGGACGAAGUAAACAUUUUUUAUUUUACAAGAGGGCAAAGUGUAGGUUUUUAAAUGACAGGGUUGGAAAGUGAAAACUCGAGUUUCGACAGGAAAUUUUAUGUAAUUUAACCUUAUUUAUUUAAGAAUGUGAAAUCUACCGUCAAUAGGUAUUGGAUUCCGUUUCUUGAGGCGACUUGGUAAGGUGAUUGAAAUUUAUUUUUCUUCGACUAUUAGCGGAUUCAAAAUAUUUUUGGAAAAACUUCAAAAACCCCGCGUAGUUUCUCAUUUUAGCCUCCUGUGGUUUAAAAUGUAUCAAAUUGUCCCCUUGUUGUUUCGUUUUUAUCUUUUCGGUAGCUUUUUCGUUAAUAUUUUAUUAAAUUAUAUACAAAAAAACUUCAGAUACCUAUCUAGAUUUAUCAAAUAUUCACUUUACUACCUUUUAAUUUUAACUUUAUCACUGAUUUAAGAAAAAAAAAUAAUAAAAUUGAUAAGAAAAAGAGAAAAAAGAAAUCACAGGGGGGCAAAUUGAUACAUUUUAAACCCCCGGGGGGCAAAGUGAGAAACUACGAAAUCACAGUGGGGNGUUUGAAGUUUUCCUAAUAUUUUUUAGACUAGUUAACUUAGAAAUAAUAAAAUAUCUUUCACCCUAGGGGGAACCCUUUUGGUGUUUUUAGUAAAAAUAGAAAACAUAAAAUAUUAACUCGAAGGAAACGGUAAUGUAUUUACGGGUUAUCAACUUAUCUGUGCAUCAGUAGUGGCAGAAAGUGUAUGGGAUAAUUAUAUCUUUUGGAAUAGAAGUUGUCUAAUAUCUAGUCAAAAUUUAUCAUAAAAUGUUGCUAGUGUUUUAGGUCAGAGUCUUGUGAAAUACAAACUAACCUAAAAUCUGAUCUAGCCAGUUGGUGAGCUGGGUUUUCUUGGAUUUUGACUAAAUUCGGAGCUUCUAUUAUACUGAAUCCGACUUUUGAGAGUUUAAACUUGGAGUAAUAACAUUCUUCUAAGAAAAUAAACUCACUUUCAGGAAAUAAAGAAGCUUAAUUUAUACUACUCAUUUAAUAUAAAAACUCCACAUGCAUUAAUUUCUGGUGACUUUUAUACAAACUCAGGAAUAGCAAAUACGCCAAACAAAAAUAAAUGCGAAGUUCAUCUAGACAGAAAUUUUGAAUCAAUAUAAAUGAUAUAAUCUAAAACUUGGUUACUCACUAAAUUGACGAAAACAACAGGGAACUUGAGGCAGAAGACAAUGUAACAGUGAAAAAAGGUGGUCACUUUAAACAUGGUAGUCCCCUUGUUUAUUAUUUCGAAUGCAAUAAUACAACCCUCUAUUGGGGGACAAAUUGAAAAACUGAAUGAAAAUACACCUUAUUUUACGCAACAUCAAUCAUGCAGCCUCCACACUAAUUAACCUUGACUUCACACUCACCCCAUCCUUCCCUGCAAUAAUUACUGUACUCGCCAUAUCCAAAAACAACCCAUGCUCUACAACCCCUUCAAACGCCGAGAUCUCCUUUCCAGCGCCUAGUGCAUCCUUAAUUGGAGUCUUGAAGUACAAAUCUACAAUAUAGUUUGAAUUAUCCGUGAUAUAAGGUUUCCCAUCGCCGUCCAGCCUAAGCUUUGCUUCACACCCUUCUUCUUUGAACAAUUCUUGCAAUCUUCUUAGGUUAUACUUCCAACAGAACUGCACGACUUCCACCGGCAUUGCGAGUCCGCUUCCGCCUAAGCCGGUUACGAGCUUUGUUUCAUCGACAACCACGAUGAAUUUGUCUGAAGCAGCCUCAACCAUCUUCUCCCGAAGAAGAGCCCCUCCGCGCCCUUUAACUAGGUUAAUAUUUGGAUCCACCUGUUUUAAAUCCCAUAUUGAAGCUCAAAUGCAAGCAAAUAGACUCGUCGUACAUACAGUAGCAGGACGCAACAAAAGAGAACAGUGACAUAUUAUUGACUUCCAAAUAUUUUGUCAUAUGUCCCCGAAGAAAUGUUCUUUCAUACAAUCCACAAGAAUCAUCUAGUAUCUAAAUUCUAAAGCAAAUUCUUGCAUAUUUAACAUUGUAAUGGAGUCAUCUACAAAUUGGUAGGAAGGAAAAAAAAACAUGGCUAAGACAGUACAUAAAAUGCAGUCAAAACUUGAAACUAGUUGUUCGUAAACUAGCGAAUCACAAAACCUACCAGAAGAAAAAUAGUAAGAUAUAAGAAAUUAUCCAUCUGCCUGCUUGUGGUACAUUCACCAAGCAACGGUAGAUUAACACCCCCUCAGGAGGGGGGGGAUGGGGAAGUCGAGAAAGUUCACCAGCUGUUUAGAUUCCAAUUGGAAAUCUCUACAGGGAAAAACCAGCUGAUAAACAUUUUAUUUUUGGUCAAAUUCUUUAAUAAGGCCAUUAUGACCCAAAAUUAGCAGCAGCAAGAGUUUAUUGAGGGGAUAUUACUGCAAACUUUGUCAGGGCUUCUUAGACCAACUCCACUUAAACAACAUUACAGCAGAAACUUUGAUUGGGCAAAACAAGCUCUACAGGGAUGUUCCAUGUUCGCUAAGAAAUCUACAGAUGUGCAGCAACAAGAUCAUGUUCGUCAAGAAUUUAUCUCUCUCAUCAACAUAGAUAUAUGCUCUUUCCCUUGUAAAGAAGAUCGGCCGCAUUUUCUGAUUUUACCAUGAUUUAUAACAUAUUCAUCUAACUCUCGAAAUAAGAACUCCACUCCGAAAGUAUUGAGAACUUAACAUCAGAUCUUUCUCUCUUCACCUGUAUAAAAGGGAGCUUCUUGCUACCAAUCAUAGAGAAGCUGAAAAUGUAUAAAACUAAACUAAGGUUUGACCUUUUAUUCAUUUGAUUCGAGCCAUUGAAGAGCAUUUCUGAUUCAGAAUUUGGGUGCACCGUUUAUCUGGAAAAGAAUGAUUCGAGUAUGUCAUGGCUAAUUUCCCUUAAAACAAUUGAAGUGCUCGAAAGGUCUAGACUCUAAAAUCAAACCUUUCGAAGGUUGGGUAGUUGGACCAAAACAGGCUAUAGUAUAUGUGUAAGUUCCUUGCAUUUUUACCUAUAGAGCAAUAGCAAAGUGUUUGAAGUAUAAGCAAUCAUUAAUGAUCUCAAACUCCAUUCAAUCUAGGGGUAGAGGGAGAGUUAGAGACAGAGAGAGAGUCUCUAUGACCUCAUCGGCGCCAUCGAUGGCGAGAUUGAUGUGGGGGUGGUCGUCGAGGGUGGAGAGGGGGAUGCCGAGCGACUGGGCCUGCUCGAAGGUGCGCUUGGAGGUGGGGACGCCGACGAUGUCGGAGAGCUUACCGGAGGCGAGGAGGGCACCGAUCUCGGCGACGACGAAGGCGGCGGUGGAGCCGGUGCCGAGGCCGAGGACCAUGCCGCUGCUCACGUACUCCACGGCCUUCUCCGCGGCGAGCUUCUUGAGGUCGUCCUGCGUGAGAGCGGAGGGCACGGAUUGCGCAAGGAUCCGAGGGGCCGCGGCGGCGCAGGCGCGGCGGGGGCGGAGCGGCGGAGGGAGGGAGAGGGCGAGGCGGCGGAGGGAGGUGGAGUAGCAGGAGGAGGAGGAGGGGGAGGGGGGCAGGAGGAGGAGGGAUAAGGUGGCCAUGGGGAUUAGGGUUUGGUGGUGGAGACGAGGUAGAACGAGAGGAGAGGAGGAGGAAGAAGGGGUUUUGGAUCGGGGAGAGAUGGUUGGGACUCGGUAUUGAGUGGUGACUGGUGAGUGUGGGGGUUGGUGGUGAGAGGUGAGAGCCGUAUGAGAUGCGGGCCUUUUCAAGGAGUUGGCGGGUACUGUUUUACAAUUUUUUCUUUUAUUUUUCAUUAUUAUUUUUUUAAGGUAAACAGUAUUAGAGGCCUCAUUAACUACGGGUUAUUCUUCAGGUUCAAAUUCCAUUUCUGCUAAAAAUAAAAUAGAGAAUACAGUUAAGUUUUCAUCACUAAUCUUAAAUUCUUUUUUAUGAAUGAGUUAUUUAGAUUUUAAACUAUGACUUAGUGUGAUAUUGAGGCCUAUCCGACGCUAUUAGAUAAAAUAAGAUUAGAAUAAAAAUAUAUAGGGAUAUACUUACUCCGUUCUCUGAUGGAAUCGCAGAAAAUAUAUUAUAAUCGACUCAUUGCGAUAUGCGAAACACAGACAAAAUAUUUUUCAUUAUGUUUUCUCACUUCAAGUAACACAAUUUUUCCGCAAUACUAAACAAAGCCUAUUAAUUUAUGACUAGCCAACUAAUUAUUUGGAUCGAGACCUUAAAAAUCAAAUAAGUAAAACACAUGGAAGAUAAUUGAAGUUUACCUGAAAUUUUUUUUUCUAACGUCUUAUGUAAGACAGCAAUAAUUCAGCGGGCCUAGUGCAUUUAUUUCCUUUUAAUACACAAAACAAAAAGGAAAAAAAAAAAACAAAUAGUUUCUAAAUUAAACUCGUCAACCGAAAACACAGAAGCCGGCAGAAUCUAAAAAGACGGUGUUGAACGAAUUCGGAAUUCGUUGCCGACUACUUAUUUAUACUCCACCACCAACAUAUGCGGCGACGACUUCGAUUCGGCUCCGAUCCCCUUUAAAUACGCCCUCCGCAUUCUCACUCUCGGCCCCCGCACCUAAACGCUACGAACGAGCCCCAGAGAGAGACUCUAGCGCUCCUCUCCCCUCUCCUCCCCCUUCACCCUUCUCCUUUUUCCCAUCCUCAUCGUUUCUCUCCUUCGCCCAUGGCGUCGCCCGCCUCCUCCACGAUCCAACGAGGCCAGGUACGUCCUCUCCCACGAUCAAAACCCUAACCCUAGAUCCCCUUCCCUCGCCCUGAUCGUUCCCUUUUUUAGGUCGAUCUCGUCGACUUCGUCGAUUGGAGCGGCGUCGAGUGCCUCAACCAGAGCACCAGCCACUCCGUUGCCAAUGCCUUGAAGCAGGUGAUCGCCAUCGCCAUCGCCCGAUCUUACCCCUCUUUCCUUGUUUCUUGAUCCGUUCUUUUUUGAGUUCCUUUUUUCUUUUUGAUCUCUUCGAUGUUAGGGUUAUAGGGAGGAUGAUGGGCUUCAUCUCGAGAGCGAGGCCGAUGAGCAGCUUUUGAUAUAUAUACCGUUCACUCAAGUGAUCAAGUUGCACUCGGUUGUCAUCAAGGGCCCCGAAGAGGAAGGUAAUGGUGUUUAAUUUUUGGAAUUCUUGUUUGCUUCUGUGCGCUGAUUCUACUUUGAAUGCUUUGAUCGUUUCUUGCUGCACGAUGAUUGGGUUUGUGGUAUCACUCGCAAAUAUUAGGCUGUUGUAUUAUGUAAUGUAUAAGGAUCACCGGUACAAGUAAUUAUUUAUUUGUUUAUUUAAUUUUCUUAAGCCAUUCGCGUUUUUAGGUAUUUAGAUAUAUGCCUUGUGCAUGUGCUGCCUUGCAUUGCAUUAUUGAGCUUUUGAUCUUUUCUACUUUCUGUUGCAUCUUUUUUGCUUCUUGAUUGCUUUAUCUGCAUGCUGUCAAAUUAGUUCAAGUCUAUUUAUGACCUCAAUAUGUUAUUUGGCAGGUCCAAGGACGGCUAAACUUUUUGCAAACAAAGAGCAUAUGGGCUUUAGGUAUGCUAUAUCUUAGAUUCAAGAGAUUCAAUUCACAAAAUUAGAACUCUUGAAGUUUUGGUUGUUUUGAGUACUGAUCGUUUAUUGACCAUGUAACAACUGUUGCAGUGAUGUCAAUGAUUAUCCGUCUAAUGACACAGUUGUUUUAUCCCCUGAGAAUUUGAAGGUAUUGUCAUCCUUCUAACUUCUUGAAAUUAAAAUUGAUCUUUGGCCUUUGCAACUUUUUGGAUGAAAAUUAUUGUUAUUAUUAUUCCAUUAUUAAUAUCUUUGUUGGGUUUAGGAAAGAUAGGGGUUGCCUCUGGGUGAAUAGUAGUUGAAUUUUGUCUUGAAACAUAAUAAUAGAUUGCUUAGUUGCAACUUCAUUUCAUUUGCAGGGGAAGCCUGUACCUGUGAAGUAUGUCAAAUUUCAAAAUGUUCAUAGGUAAGUUGAGUAUACAUUCUCCCCUUUUAAUUUUUUAGUAUGUGAUUGCAUUGCAUAAGUUGGUUAUUAAUUUGUUGGACUAAUCAUAUUAUAUCAGCUUGACAAUUUUUAUCGAGGACAACCAAGGCGGUGGCGACAUCUCUAAAGUUCAGAAAAUUGCCCUCUAUGGAACAACGUGAGUGUUAAUUGAUUAAUUUCUUAUCCUUUCAUUCUUCUGUAGCUUCUCUUCUUUAAAUUGAUCCACCGUCUCUAUUAAGCAUUUAAUCUCUACCAAACAGCAAAGAGUUGAAAGGUAUUUUAUAUGCAUCUCACUCAAAAAUUGCUAUAAAGUUGGAGAAUCUAACAUAAAUAAGAGUAUUAAUCUGGUCAUUCUUGAAAUCUCUAUGCUAUGACUGUAGUUCUUGGUAGCAUCUUUAAUUUUUGGUUUGACAUUUCUUGUUCAAGUAUUUCGACACAAUCAAGGGAACAUUUUCUGAAGAAAAGAAGCGUUUUUUUUGUGGCUAGUGUAUAUUCUUAGUCAGAUAAAUAAAUGUGAUAUUUACUAGUUUAUACUUAUGAUCCAAUCUAUGUGUAAGCUAAAGUAACUUGCAGGCGGAUGUAUAUGAAAACCAUAAAGCAUUUGUUAAACAUGAUUAAAAAUUAUCCAGAGAAUUUAUUUGGGUUCAAAUCUUACAUUCGAACUUACAGUGCAGCAGGCAAGAAAAUCUUUGCAAUCUAGAAUUUGGACAAUUUAGGUGGUGCAAUUUGAAACUAGAUAUAGAAAGGAACCAUAGAUUAGUCUUUUGAAGGUGUAAAACAGUUCAAGGUGAAUUUAAAGAUGCUUAAAUUCUUAGUUUUGUGUGAUAAUGCUUCUCUAGUGAAAUUCUUGCACUUACCUGUGGAUAAGACAAUUGGAAUUAUUAGUCUAAAAAAGAUAUAAUAUUAUAGUUCAAUAUCAAUUUUUUCUUAGAUUUUUUUUAAUUAUCCUCAUCAAAUCUUUCAUAGUUCACUGAUAGGAAAAGUGAUGGUUUAUCAUCAAUAAUUUAACUCUUAUAAAUAGCGAAUUUAUGUAAAUAUGGCACUGCACAACUCAUUAAUGAUGACUUGUCAUUUCUUUUGCUAAUGAAAUACUGAAGAUGUGAUGUGAACGUAUUGUUCACUCAUAGCUCAAGAGGAAAUAUGUGAAGUACUAGUAUCUAUGAAUUAUAACUAAGAGCAAUAUUCAUCACUUAGAAAUGAUUGAGUUAAUACAUUUUUCCAUAUCUUCUUAAUGGAAGAAAUGAGAAUUUAUCAUUAAUUAUUUACAAGAUGACUUACUCAGAUUAACUCUUAAAAAUACACAAUUAAUAUGAGUAUGGCAUUUUAUAAUAUGUCAGUCAUGAAUUGUCAUUCGCCUUAUUAAUGAAAUAUGAAAGAUGUGAUGUGAACGUGGUAUUUACUGACUCCUUAGUAAUGAAAUUAAACGUCCAUAGUACUACUUAUUCUCAUAAGGCUUCGUAUAUUUUAAAUAAUUUUCAAUACAUUUUAAUUAACCAACAAAAAUAAAAGAUAAAUGCACUAAUGAAAGAAGCCCAAAGGGAAACUGCAUGGCAUCAUCCAGAUGCCCUUCAUUAUAUCUUCUUGAAUUCCUUAUAACAGAUACAUUGCUGAUCAAAGUUGCCGAUUAUAGCUUAUAUCUAGGGCUGUUUAGAUUUGGUUUGUAUAAACUAUUUCUAUUAUAGUAUGGAAGUUCCAUACUUGGCUGGCCUGAUGACUCUUUGUAUUUUUUUCACUUGAGAAGGAAAAAAAAAAAAAGAAAAAAAAUUCUAUCUUCUUGAACUCCUUAUAACAAAUACAUUGCUGAACAGAGUUGCUGAUUAUAGCUAUAUCUAGGGCUGUGUAGAUUUGGUUUGUAUAAAGCUAUUGUUAUCAUGAAUUUCGCUUUUUGCAUUAUUGCAAUCUCCCAAAAAUUGUCACAAAUUGUUCAGCUUAUUUACUAAACAAACUCAAAAUUGUUCUAAUUUGGCACAAUCUGGGGAAUAUAAUCAUCUAAGUCAAUCUAUAAGCUGUGCAUCUCGUUGCAUGCGCUUGGUAGGCAUUGUGAUUUCAACCAAUGCUCACAACGGUCCCUUUGCUAUAAUCUGGAUUUUUAUUUGACUUUUGUCAUUGGUUUCAAAUCAUAAUGUAGAUCCUGAGGACUCUUACUUUCUUUUGUCUAAAUGAGAAAGAAAUCGGGUUUGCUAAACUUUUGUAGAUCAAUUGACUGACCUAGGUAUGACAGACCGUUAUUCUGUGUGAGAUUCUUUGGCUUCUCUGCUUUAGAAAUAGCACCAACAUUCUUUACUCAAGCUUUAUUUGCUAAUAAUUAAGUCAAAUAUUUGUUGGUGAUCACAGACAUAAGCAAGGAUUUUUUUCAAUUGUAAAUUACAGCAUUGGUCACUGACAUUUGGUGAGAUUUUAUUUAGGUUACCGAACUUUAAUUUGUUUUAAUCAGGAUAUCGAGCUUCAAUUUCAGUUUUGAUUGUCAUUACUCAAAUUUCUAAUUAAUUUCUAUGAUGGCGUUCCACUAUGGCAGCUAAUUUAGUCGUCAAGCUAGUGGUCCUCUGAUUGCUUUUUAGUGCUUAUUGUUUUAGUAUAUUCUAAUAAAGUAGUUUUCCUCAAUUUUCAGCUGAGUACAUGAGUGAUACCAAAGUAAUUAAAAUUAUGAUCCAACACCUCCGAUAUAAAUGUUAUCCACUCUAAUGCAUGUGGAUCAGGGAAAUUGUUUUUUCUGUUAAUCACAAACUGUAGAAGUGGAGCUGUCAUUUAUAAGUUGAAGAGGUAGGACUAAAUGAUGUGAGCCCUUCAAACGAAAUAAUAGAACUAGCUUAUGAUGUGUAGCAGACUGAAAAUUAUGCGGUGCUAACCUUACUUGCUUAGAGUCUGUCUGUGAUUCAAAACCUGAUGUUUAUUUGCAAUGGAGUAUACUUUAUGAUUCAUGAAAAGUGAAAUCCUUAGCCUUUUUAACAAGUCAAUUAGUUAAUUUUAUGUCUCCUGCUAUCACACCACAACAAUCUACAAGAAAAAUUUCCUGUACGUGGUCCCAGUGUAGUUUCUCAGGAUGCCACCCGAGAUAUUGCUAGACUCCACUAAUUUUGUUAGGAUAGUAUCUCCUUGGAGAGAAAUAACUAAAUUACUUGAAGGAAAAAUAACCCAACUAUUUAAUUAUGCUCUACCAACUAUUUAAUUAUGCUCUUUUGUGUUAUUUGGUUAUUUUUGUAAGGAAAAUGCAUCCUGUUCUUAGUGUUGUUCCUGAUAAGAUAUCUGUUUACUACAUUUUGGGUGUAUUUACUUUACGUCAGCUUAUGCUGAUUAAUACACUUUGGUUGGCAAAUAUGUUUAAUGUAUUACCAUGUCAUUCAUAAUACUGGUGAUGAUCUUUGAGACGAGAUACUAUUUUGGAAGUACUGGAGGUGCCAUUGAUUUGUCAUAACUUGCCCGGUCUUCAUGCUGUUGUUAUGUCAUCUUGACAUUAUAAUUGUCUUAUGCAUACUUCUAUUCGUUGGUGAUACUAUUUUGGAAGUUCUGUGAUAUGUAUCACUUUAGUUUCUUGAUAUUUAUGUUGUAGCAAUGGGUAAAUAUACAUGUUUGGUCCUCCUAUGGGGCACAUCACAUUUUGGUCCUCAAACUUUACCUAGUUGCAAUUUUUAAGUUUGAACUUCUGUAAAUUGUUGCAAUUAAGUCCUACAACUCAAUCUAUUUGGUUAAACAUUGAUGAAUGGUUGAUGUACAAGUGAUGUAGCAGUUUAGUUAUUAUCACAUCAUUAAUCAUAACACUGCUAUAUUAUUUUCUCCUUAGCGAUAUAUCAAUAUUUAGCCAACUAAAUUGGGUUAUAGAACUUAAUUAUAAUAAUUUAAAAAAUUUGAGCAAGAAAUUAUAACAAAUUAAAGUUUAAAGAUCAAAAUAUCAUGUGUCUUCUAAUUUGAGGACCAAAAGUGUUAUUUACUCUAUAGCAAUUUAUUUAGCUAGUUAAGUAGGAGUGUAGGACUUUUUUUUCCGCAUCUUUGAUAGGAUUUUUUUUUUUGACUCCUUCGAAGGAAAGCCCGUAGGCUAUCUAAGAUGGGACAUCACUUGUAGAUGGCCAUUAGUCUUCAAUAUCUUUGUACAGUUGUGAAAUCUUUAGUUAAUGGUCCAGCCUUUUUUUUCGCAGCAUUUGAAGUCUUUCCUUCCAGUCUUACCUCCCAGUUUUUGCCUCUUUGGCUCGGCUUCCAGUUUUGCAUUUAAUUAUAGUCAUCUAUAGAGGGUCCAUCUAUGGUGCUCAUAAGAGGGCCUGAAUAGUGCGUAUUUUAGACUUUUUACCAUUUAGAUCAGAAUAUUAUUCCAUCUACCCUCACUGCAUUCUAAAGCAUUGUAGACUAAAAAUGUUGUGAGAACACACUAUUCAUGUCGUCACAAAAGUAUAGCAGCAUUGUCAUAUAUAUAUAUAUAUAUAGAGAGAGAGAGAGAGAGAGAGAGAGAGAGAGAGAGAGAGAGUGCCUCGGCUAUUAUACUUUUAUGCAUACAAUCACUUUUGUACUCUUAAGUCAUUUUCAAUGGUAGAUUUUUCGAAUCUAUGAUCCACAUUGUUAAACAUAAUUUGAAAACACGUAAACAUUCUAAAAAUUGAAUUUCAUAAUUGUUGGACGUCAGAUUCCUUAUGAUCAAAAGUCCUCAAAAUUGAUAAUUUUAACGGUCGAUAUGGGACGUUUUCUAGUUUAAUUGUGUGGAAAAAUUGGAAUUGGUUGAAUUUUUAAUUAAAAAUUAUAGUCAUUAUUUAAUCAAGAUCAAUAACUUCGAUCUUGAAUUGAAGAACUCAACUCUAUUUUGAGGAGGUCAUUUCAUUUUCACCGUUAAUUUAUACCUAUUUGAUUGUCUAUUAUGAUUUUGAAAAAUUACAAAAUUUGGUUUCUAAGCAUUCAAAUACUCUAAAUUAUAUUUAACGGUAUGGAUCGUUAGUUCGAAAGAUCAAUUAUCGAAAAUAACUUAUGAGUGUGAAAACUUUCGCACUCAUAAGAGUAUAUUAAUAUUCCUCUCUUUCUCUCUCUCUAUAAUUAUAUAUAUGUGUGUGUGUAGAGUUGAGUUGGAAUAUUAUUAGUAGCAAACAUGUUUCGUUGCCACCCAUUUGUUUUCGAUGAUGGAGCUUCGGAAUCGACGAUCGGCACCGCUCAAUAUGAUCUAUACCACUUGAAGCAUCUAGAAAUCAAAUUUCAUAUUUUUUCAAUAUUAUUCUCUUGUUCAUCAAGUGAACACAAAAUUGAAUGGCUGAAAAUAAAUAUUUGUUAAAAAUUGAUGAUAUGAGUCUUGUAAGUAAGAUUAAGAGUAUAAAUCUUAUUUUAAAUAGUUUAAAGAAUUUUUUUAUCAAAAUUCAAUUGAUUUGGAUAUCUUUACGUUGUUAAACGAGAAAGCGUCUCAUAUUGACUAUUAAAAUUAUAAAUUUUGAAACUCUUUGGUCAUUAGGCCAACGAUGUCAAAAAGAUUUGAACUUUAGUUUCUAGAUACUUCAAAUGGUAUAGAUUAUGUUCAACGAUACUGAUCGUCGAUUUGGAGACUCCAUCAUCGAAAACAAAUGGAUGACAAUGGUGUUCGUUUGCUACUAAUAACAUUUUAGCUCAACUAUAUAUAUAUAUAUAGAGAGAGAGAGAGAGAGUUCGACUACUAUACUAUCGAUAACACCAAGUAUUUGGUGCUAUCAAGUUUUCCGCCGUCAGAUCUAUCCCUUUGACCAUUUUCACAUGGUAGAUCAUACUAUCCAACAAACCACCCAUUUAACCCCAGUGAACUAUUAUAAUCCUAACCAGACAUCCCUUCCUUCAAGAGUUGAGAAUCUAAUAGUGCCAAUGACUUGGUGCUAUUAAUAGUAUAGUAGCCUAGUUUUCUCUUUAUAUAUAGAACUAGUCACCAAGUUAAUGGUGCUAUUAGAUUUUCGGCCAUUGGAGGAAGGGAUGUACGGUUAGGAUGAUAGUAGUCCUCUAGAGUUGAGUGGAAAGUUGAAUAGUAUGAUUUAACUGGUGGAAAUGGUCAAAGGGGUAGAUUUAAUGGUGGAAAACUCGAUAGUACCAAGCGCUUGGUACUAUCGAUAGUAUAGUAGCCGAAAUAUAUAUAUAUAUAUAUAUAUUAAAUAUAUUAUAUAUUAUAUAUAUAUAUAGAGAAGAGAGAGCGGAGAGAGAGAGGGAGGUAGGAGGGAGAGAGUGAGAAUGAGUGAGAGAGAUGGCUGAGAGGAGAGGAGAGUCGGGGGGAGGGAGAAGCUUUGUUAUUUUUUAUGAUAAAUCUUUUAAAUCGACUAUCUGUACCAUUGAGCAUGAUCAACACCAUUUAAAGUAUCUAGAAAUCGAAUCUCAUUCUUUUACGAUAUUAUUCUUUUGUACAUCAAGUGAAAAUAAAAAAUUGAAUGGUUGAAAAUGUGUAUCCUUCAAAAAGUGAUAAUAGAAUUCUUAUCUUCAAUAUCAAGGGUUUAAAUAGCUAUGGAUUCUGCUGCAGUACUUUGCUUUUUCUAGCAAAAAUUUAAUUGCUUUGGAUUCUACUGCAGUACUUUGCUUUUUCUAAAUAUACUAUUUAAAUAGCACUUUGUCGAACAUUAUUAUAUACUAUAUGCUUCAACAAGGGCUUGUUUGUUUGGAUGGAAGUGGAGAGUGGUGAAGCCGUUUUCGGCCGUAAAUAGUCACUUCAACUGUUUGAUUUGCUGUAAUAAAGAUACAGUCGAAAUUCGAAAUAUUUAAAACAUCGUAGUUGACUUCGGCCUAUUCUGAGCCGAAGUCAAUUACAGUUAAAAGAGGUAAAGAAAAAAUAUAAUAAAAUAAUAUAAUGGGUAGUACUAGUUAUAUUUAAAUAUAUUUGAUUGUGGUACUAAUUAUUUUUUUAUUUAGUUUAAAAAUUGAUUAGUUUAGUAUUAAUAUUUUUUUACUCUAUGAUUUUGUUGUAUUAUUAUAAUUUAUCUAUAUAAAUAAUAAUUUAGUUGUUUUAGACUAUGUUUUCUAUUUAUAUAGUGUGGUCAUAAACUAGUAAGAGCUAGAUCACAUAGACCUAGAAGAAUGACAUAUCCUCCCACUGAUCCCGUGAUGUGAGGAACAUUGUUCCUGUCAUAGCAGUCGUCAUCAUUUCUCUCUCUCUGUCUCUCUCUCUCUCUCAGAGAUAAGACUUGAAAUGAUAAGUCCCUGCUCAAAUUGCUUCCAUCUGAAUAAAUAAAUACCAGAGCUUUGACCUGCACAUUCUCACCUGCAUUGCUUAUCUUGUCCUACUUGCAGGGUGGACACGACAAACAUGAAGGAUCUCAAGAAGAUAGAGGAGCACUAACUCGCCCUAACCAUCCCGUAUCCGACCAUAUUUCAUGUGUACAAGAAGAGGAGGGUUUGGAUCUGGUAAGUUACAUGACCAGUGUAAACCAAUAGACCGAUACAAUACAACAUGUUUACUUGCAUAAGAUUAUCAAUUAAAAUUCUGUUGUCACACUAUGCUCGUUGUACUGCUUUACUAUUUAAUCGACUCCAAUUUUUGUUGAGGUUUAGCACACGGUUACAUCAUUUAUUUUAAUUAUUUUGUUUUGCGGGUCACGAUUUUACGCAAUGGUGUGGGGGCUACUCUUAAUACUAAUUGGAUUCCUCCAUUAUUAUGAUGUGAUCUCCUCUACUACUACUACUGUAGUAGUACUACGACCCCUAUAACAACUACUAAUACUAUUAGCUUUUUCUCCCUUUUUCUGGCUCUUUUUUAUCGAAGGACACCUCCUCAGCUUUGCUUUGCCUUUCUCGGAUUUUGCAACGGCCCUUUGUUCCCUCCUCCAGUGAAAAAGGGCUGUUGAACGGCACGGUUCUGUACCAUAAGACUGCUAGUUGUCUUUAAAAGAUAUAUAAAAUCCCCAUAUAAAUUCCCUCACCUUUGUUUUCCCACUCCCUGCUCCUCUUUUUUUUCCCCUGUUAUUUAGCAUCUUUUGUAGACUUUGGAUCUAGAGCUUUAGUUGUGAAAACUAGUUAGUUUGGUCUCUUCUGAUAUUAGUUUAGAUUUAGGAUAAUAGCAACUUAGUUGGUGGAUUAAUUUUGUAGGGUAAAUGGGUCCAUAAUAACAUGCAUGGUGUAUUUGAUGUGUACUGAAAUGGUAUGCUGGGCCAUGUAGGAAUUAAUAUUUGCUAGCCCACUAGACACACCAGCUAUGUUUGAUGGCCACAAGCCUCCUGUAUUAAAUAAGGGGGAUGGGUGCACACAUGUGCAGGGUUUUGUGUUUGUGGUGUGAUUUGGUGGUGGUGGUGGUGGUGGUGGCCCCUACAAAAUAGGAUCUGGAUGCUCUUAAUUCAUCUCCGUGUGGCUAUAUUUUUGUUUGAUCUUUAAAGCUAUCUGCGUGUGGUCUCUCUAUUGUAGGUUGGAGUGUGUUUGUCUCUUUUAAUAAGUUGGCAAUUACAGCUGUCUUUGCUCUGCAUUAUGAUGUAUUGGCUCUUUUGCUAACUUAAAGAUGAUAAUCCUGUUGCACCUGUCAUCCUCGUAUAAUUCGAAUGUAGAGCAUUAACAUGGUAUGUGUACACCGACAGAGACUUUGACGCACAAUACAAAUGAAAUGAUCGAUUGUUAACAAUCAACCUCCCACAACACCACAAGUUAGGCUACGGUAACAGUAGUGGAUCUAUAGUUUUGCUGUAAUGGCUACUGUAAUACCAGGUAACAGUAGUGGAUCUAUAGUUUUGCUGUAAUGUCUACUGUAAUACCAGUGGACAAUUGGUACCGCCAUUCUAUCAGUACUAGAAUGAACAGCUAACUAAAUUCUAUGGUCCUAGAGUUGUCCCCCUCCGCAACCUAUUUACCUCAUUGUAACUAGCUUUUGACGGGAUCCCAAAAUUGAUAAUUCCUGGUCAUGCCAUGCUCGUGAUUCUCAACAGUACUGUUUUGAAGAGACCCUGAAUAGUUCUAAAUCAUUGUGUGAAGUAAGAUUUCUAUCUCUCUCUCUCUCUCUCACUCAGUCGUUCUAUGGGGUUUGUUAGGGGCUUUGUUGUAUAGUUUAGCGUUGUCAGAUAAAGUUUUGUGCAUGCAGUGCCACUAGCGUAACCAUUGUAUUAGUAGUUUCUAGCAAUUUAUUUCGCUUUGGUCUUGUUUAGCGUCGGCGCUGGUUUUUACUCAUUUUACAUAAUUUAAUAUAUUGAUGGAAAAAAUCCUCUCUUUUUUUUUGUCAUAAUUAGUUAGCUUGUAAUACACUGGCAAAAUGAUGGAUGAUAGUUUAUUUAAAAAAUAUUUUUAAAUUUUUAUUUUUUUCUUGUUAAAUAAAUACUUUGGAUGUAUGGAUUAUAAUUAAUACAUCAUACUUUUCUACACUAUUUUAUAUAUAAUAUAAAGACUUUAUUGGAAAAAAAAAAAAAGAAAAACGGUAAUAAUACCAAACUCGGCACUCUGCUUUUAUGGCUUAAAUUUUGUUUUUCUUCUUCCUCGUCUUCUUUGUUGCACCAUAAGCGUAAACAAAAGAAAAGCGUAAUUUGUAUAUUUAUAUUUUAUAAAUCUUAGUGUUCACAAAAUUUUUUAAUCUUCGAGUGAAAAAGGGAAAAAAAAAAGAAGAAAAAAGACAGGUCAAAAAUAAGAAUCCUUAGAUUAAUAGUGUGUAAUAUAUAUAUAGAGUUGAGCUAGAAUACUCUCGAUAGUAAACGGAGUAUUUUACUAUCGAGUUGUUUUCGAUGAUAGAGCUUUCAAAUUGACGAUCGGCUCCGUUAAAUAUGAUCUAAAUCAUUUAAACUACCUAGAAAUCAAAUUUUACGCACUUUCGAUAUUGUUCUUUUAUCCAUCUAGUGAACAGAAAAUGAAUGGUUGAAAAUGAAUAUUCUUUAAAAAAUGAUGAUAGGAGUCUUGUAAUCAAGAUCAAGAGUAUAGAUCUUGUUUUAAAUAGUUUAAAGAAUUUUCUAACAAAAAUACAAUGAUUUGGAUAUCUUAUACACCGUUUAAACGAAAAAACGUCUCUUAUCCACCAUUAAAUAUUACAAUUUGAAACCCUUUGAUCAUUAGCACAAAUGAUGCGAAAAGAUUUGAAAUUUGAUUUCUAAACACUUUAAGUGGUAUAGAUCAUGUUCAACGGAGCCGAUCGUCAAUUGGAAGCUCUAUCAUCGAAAACAGCUCGAUAGUAAAAUGCCCCGUUACUAUAGAGAGUAUUCUAGCUCAACUCUAUAUAUAUAUAUAUAUAUAUAUAUAUAUAUAUAUAUAUUAUAUAUAUAUAUAUAUAUAUCAUUAAGGCCCCGUUUGGUUUGGGGAGAGUUAUCCCCGCUUUUCCGCCAAACGGGCGUGAAAUUUGGUCGGAAUAUUUUAUCCCCGUCAAACCUUGCUAUUUUCGAUUAUUCCGGAAUAGCCAGGGAUUUGCUAUUCCACCAUUUUGGUGGAAUAGAACUAUUCCAAUGCUUAAUUUCAAAUUUAAUAAAAAUUAUAAAUUGAAUUAAAACUAAAUUAUAUAAAUAUAGUAUGUUAUAUAUUAUAAUACAUUAUUUUUGUUAUAAAUUAUUAAUUGUACUAUAUUAAUACAUAUUAUUUAUAUUAAAUAUUAUAAUAAAAUUUAUAUAAUAAUUAUAUUUAAAUAUUAUAAUAAAUUCUUUUUAUUAAAUUUAAGUUUAAAUAGAAUUUUAAAAAUUUAUAAAUUAUUAUAAUAAAUAGUUUUUUAUUAAUUGUUCCCAUCCUAUUCUUAUUUAAAAAUUUAAAAAUUAAAAUUAAAAUUUUAAAAUUUAUAUAUAUAAUAACAUUAUUUUAUUAUAAAAUUAUUAAUGUACUAUAUUAAUAAUUAUUAUUAUAUUUAAAUUAUUAUAAUAAAAUUUAUAGUAAAUUAUAUUUAAAUAUUAUAAUAAAUCUUUUUAUUAAAUUUAAGUUUAAGUAGAAUUUUAAAAAAUUUACAAAUUUAUUAUAAUAAAUUAUUUUUAUUAAUUGUUCCACCCCUAUUCUUAUUUUAAAAUUUUAAAAUUUAAAAUUUUAAAAUUUAUAAUUUAUAAUCUCAAAAAUAAAGUUUAUAAUUUUAAAUUUUAAAUUUUUAUAUUUAAAUUUGAAAUUUAAAAUUUGAUAUUUUAUAUUUUUCAAAUUUAAAUUUGAUAUUAAAUUUAAAGUUUGAAAUUUAAAAUUUAAAAUUUUGAAUUUAAAAUUUGAGAUUUUAAAUUUCAAAUUUGAAAAUUUAAAAGUUAAAAUUUUAAACUUAAAAAUAUAUAUUUAAAAAUUUAAAUUUAAAUAUAAUAAGAGGAUAAUAUGAUUAUUUUUUAUUUAUAAAACCCAUUAUCUUUCUUAUUCCAUCUUACGUAACCAAACGCUAUUUUUUUUAUUCCCAGGAAUAAACUAAUUUUUAUUCAAACGCAAAAUUGAUCUAAUCCCCGCUUAUACCUUAAUUUAUACUUAUUUUUAGAAUAGUCAUUUUUUGCUUAUCCUCGAACCAAAUGAUACAUAAGUUUAGAAAUGCCCGGCUUAAAAAAAAAAAAAGGAAAAAAAAAAAAAGACUCUGAAUAGUGCGCGAUGGGAAUCGUACUAGGGGCAAGGACAACUGUGAACUCUUUUCUUUACUCCUUUUUUAUUUAUCCUCUCUUGUUUUUUUACUCCCCUUUCUUUCUUUCUUGCUUUCUUUCUUUCUUUUCCGUGCAUGUUGAUUUGGUGGAAAUCGAGGCGGUUUGUAGGGGAUCCGAGGCCGCAGCUUUCUUCGGCAUAGGGUGCAGGAUUCGAUUGUCGGUUGGCCACACACGUAGCGGUUCGUUUUACCAUCCUCACACUUUUAUCGUGGCAUCUGCUUUUCUUUUUUUUUUUCUUUUUUUUCUUUUUUUUUUUUGGAUAAACUUCAAAUACCAUCCGAUUUCGCAUUUUCUUAUUUCAGUACUCUAUAAUUUAAAGUAUAUCAAAUUAGUGUGCUAUAAUUUUAUUUUUAUCUUUUUUUCAACUUUUUCAUUAAUAUUUUGUUAAAUUAUAUACAAAAAAAUUUCAGAUACCAUAUCUAGAUUUAUCAAAUAUUCACUUUAGUACCCUUUAGUUUUAACUUUGUCACUGAUUUAACGGAAAAAAUUAAUAAAAUCGAUAAUAAAAAAAUAAAAAUAAAGUUACAGGAUGCUAAAUUGAUACAUUUUAAAUCAUAUGGUACUAAAGCGAGAAAGUAUGAAACCACAUGGGUGGUAUGUAUUUAUUUAUUUAUUUUUUACCUUCUUCGGAGGCAGUAAGUAAAUCUAUUUUACCAGUCCCCCAUUCAUGGGAAAAAGCAAGCAACCAAAGAAAAAAAAACAAAAAAAAAGGUGUUUUCACUUUUCACUUCAUAUAAAUAUAUUAUUAUUUAAAAAAAAUUAUUUUGAUCUUAUCAUUCUACCAAACAAUUUAAUUAAAGCCUCCUAUCUCAGCAUGAUGCAGACUAUUGCAGAAUAAUGUGGGCACAAGGAAAAAGUCAUGUAUUUAUGAUGAUUUCUUUUGUUGCUGUUCAUUUCCCAUUUAACCUGUAAAUCACUAUAUCUGAUGUAAAGAACCAAAAGUGGGUUAAAAAUUUUUUUUUUUAAAAAAAGAGAUACUUUUGAUGUACUGGGAUAUGAAUCUUUCCAACCAUUAAAUGACUAUUGCAAAAAAAAAUAAAUAAAUAAAUAAAUAAAAGAGGAAAAUGGCAAAUGGGUUAAAUCCUUUACGUAAUUGUUACAUUCUAUUAAACUUGCACUUUCUUUUAUAUAUCUGAACCACAAUCUCUUUUAUGUUCUCCUCUUUUCGUAUCUUCUCAUUAGAAAUCUCAGCGGUUGGUCGACCGCAUAUUUUUAUUUUUUAAUAAAAAGGUUAUUCCUCUCAUAGUAGGUCAACAACCAAAUUUGAUCUUCACACUCUUUCGAACCAACUGUAAGGAUAAUCAUCUGCAAGAAUGUUUGGAGUUAGGUGUGUGAGGUUGAGACUUGGAUUAAUCAUCUCAUAAUCUCCCUCCCUCACCACCACCACCACCACCAUCAACAUAUCAACUUUUGUCUUCAUCAUCAGUAUGUUAUCGGGUCAGUGGAACAACUUAGGAUAUAUAGCAAGAAUUUAAGUGCCAUGUCAUGGAGUCAUACCGGAAACUUACAAGCACGGCACAGCACGAUGCAUGCCGAGUCGUGCCGAUGCGUGUCGGUCAAAAAAAUUCUUAUGUGCCGACACAUAAUAACAUAAAAUAUUUAUUUUCGUUGCAACAAAAUAUUCACUAUUUAUUAUGUCUUUUUAUCACAUCUUUUGAAUUUUAUUGAGAAAAUUACUUAACUAAUUUAAAGAAUAGGGAAUUUUGAGUUGUGCAAUCGGCACGAAAUCUGUAUCGUGCUGCUAUCUUAUUUGCACGAUACGGCGCGAUAGAUACGGCCCGUGCCGACGGUCACUUAAAACCUUGAUAUAUAGAUUAGUUGCUUUUCCAAAGGAUUGCUAACCUAAGGUUGUUAACCUGCAGAGUAAACUGUUACUAAUUGGUGUUAAGCAACUGCCUAAUAAGCUUUGACAGAGUGAACUUUCCUAUCUUUACUACUUUAGUGUUGGUGCCAUCAAAAUCAAACCAAAAAGUAAUCAGAGGGGUGUGUCAACUGUUGAGUUGGUGGAGUCAUUGGGAGUUGAUUGCUUGAGUAAUUUAGGUACACUAUGAUGAGUCUCACCUAAGAUAUGACCAAAGUGCAUCAGAUUUAUUAGAAGGAAAUAUCAUGCAAGUUUUGUAAGGUUAUUUCUGCUUCACACUUAAUAUAAAAAUAUUUAGGAUUAAUUUUAUAUAGGUCCCUGCAAAUAUAGUAAAUUACAAAUAUAUCCCUACAAAGUUGUAAGUCCCGAUGUUUUCAAAUAUGUUCCUACCGUUAGAAUUCGUCAAAAAAAUUUAGUUAACCAUAGGUUAAAUACUUAAUCUUGGUUAGUUAGUGAGGUGAAUUGACUUUUUUAUCCUUCUUCAGUUAACAAUUGGAAUUUUUGGAAGGAUAUAUUUGUGAUGGCAAAAAGAUCAUUUCAUUUAUAAAAUAGACAUUAUGUCAACGAUAACAAACUAGAGGAACAUAUUUGAAAAUAUUAUGAAAUUUGCAGGAAUAACAUAUGAAAGUUGAACUUUAUAGAGAUAUAUUUACAAUUCUCUAUAUUUUCAGGAAUCUAUAUGAAAUUAACCGAAAUAUUUAUGAGGAAAAAAUUACUGCUAAUAGUGGAA